rnacentral:rRNA from 1 species
GACGAACGCUGGCGGCGUGCUUAACACAUGCAAGUCGAACGGAAAGGCCCUGCUUUUGUGGGGUGCUCGAGUGGCGAACGGGUGAGUAACACGUGAGUAACCUGCCCUUGACUUUGGGAUAACUUCAGGAAACUGGGGCUAAUACCGGAUAGGAGCUCCUGCUGCAUGGGGGGGGUUGGAAAGUUUCGGCGGUUGGGGAUGGACUCGCGGCUUAUCAGCUUGUUGGUGGGGUAGUGGCUUACCAAGGCUUUGACGGGUAGCCGGCCUGAGAGGGUGACCGGCCACACUGGGACUGAGAUACGGCCCAGACUCCUACGGGAGGCAGCAGUGGGGAAUAUUGCACAAUGGGCGGAAGCCUGAUGCAGCAACGCCGCGUGCGGGAUGACGGCCUUCGGGUUGUAAACCGCUUUCGCCUGUGACGAAGCGUGAGUGACGGUAAUGGGUAAAGAAGCACCGGCUAACUACGUG